UGGAAGCCAAACCCCAGAGGUGGGGGA
rnacentral:piRNA from 1 species